UGCAAAGCUCUCCUCCAAUGCAUAUGAAAUUAAUAUCAUGAACAAAGGAACAGAAGAUUAAAUGUUUCACACGAAGCCUGAGAAAAAGAUGAAACACGUGAAGCAAUGCAGGGAAAAAAUGAUGUCAGCAUCUUGGACACAAUUUCUACAGAAUUUUCUUCAGAAGGGGAACUCCUAAACCGGAUUCAGAACGUUCAAAGCAGUAAUAUAUCCUAAUUAAAAAAUCGACGCCUCUUCGGUCCGUCGCCUCGAAGCAUCCGUUGUCUCGAGAUGCUUCGUUCUUAUGGCAUGCUGGAAACGCAAGCACGAAUCGGAGGAACAGCAGAGUAAGAAGAAGGGGACUCCCGGAGCUGGCUCGUUAACUACGAGAAAUAUUGUGACAGUUAUGUCUGCACCACGACACGUCUCCUUCUUCUCUGAUCCGUCGUCUGAUCAUCCUUCCCUUUUGCUAUGAUAAUUAUCUGCUCCGUUCACGGCUAUCCCGCGAUAUUUCUACCACUUUGAUGGCAAUUAUUACAGCUUGCAACAUUACUGGUCGGCAACAUUACUUGGCCAAACAGAAAAUAUCUAGAGGCAUUAUCAUAAAUUAAUUAGUUUAAAGCGAUGCAAUAUCAAAUCCGGUUGCUGCUACUGUAAAGUAAAUAGGAGAAUUAUGUAACUGUCGCUAUCCAUUCUACAACUUUGUGCAAGAAUUAUCUAAAUCUUCGUUGAGUACUUCAGAUUGCAAGGAUAAUAUUAGAAACUAGAAACCAAAGUACUUGGAAAAGUGACCAAAAUGAAAUUGAACGUGGCGACAAAGAUCCAUAAAAUCGAAUUUCUAAGUAAAAUGUAAUUUAUCCUGUAUAAUGAUUAAUUGAAGAUUUCCGCGAAAAGAAGAAACGAACAUUUUGCGUUCUCGUCUCCUCCUUGCGAGAAGAAAGGGCGUAUAAGUGCUAAUUGGUCCUAAAGGGCGAUCUUCCCCCAUGGCGCCACGAUCUGGCGCCUACACAUAUGGUAGCCUUUGAAGCCAUAAUUCAGCGCUCGGUUGAUUUUGAGGGAACACAGGGUACAAGGAACUUAAACUAUUUCAGGUGCCCUAGCCUACGGAAGUCGCAGACGUUAUCGCAAUUUAUUGCAGUGCAUCUUGUUCGGAACAACUUCCGCGAAAUGUGUUUCCAUUUAAUCACAAUCUUACUUAGUUCCAGUUCUUCUCAUUAUUACGAAAUUUAAUGAUACAAUUUUUCUCGUCUACAAAAAAAGAUAUUUACAAACGAACGAUUUUUGUUCUUUCACUACGAAUAAUGAUGUAAAUUAUGUAAUAUGUACCUGAGUUUCAGUCAGCUUCAAACUUUUACUGAGCUGUAACCUCUUCGUCACGCUCAGGUAUUUGUUCCUCUCGAAUUCCGCUUCCAAUGAUUUAAUUUGCGCCGCGGUGAACGCAGUGCGAGGCCUCUUCUUUCUUUCGUCAUCACUAAUGAUGCUGUCACUUUUUUCUUGAACCUCUCUAUCCACACUUGUCGUUGAAUUGGCACCGCUACUGCUAGUGCACGCCUCUAGUAACAUC